rnacentral:misc_RNA from 1 species
AAAGUCGUAACAAGGUUUCCGUAGGUGAACCUGCGGAAGGAUCAUUAACACGUAUCCACGUUUAUCACCCGAGAUUUCUUAAGAUGGCUUAUUCGAGUAAAAGGCACAAUGCACUUGUGUAUUAUGCCUCGGCCCUUUCAAUUUCGGUUGUAUUGCGGCCAUUGAAUUUGCCUCUUAAGUAAUUACUUCCCUGUUGGUCUCAUUUCGGUGAAACCCUCAGGGAGUAGUUAAUCUCAAGGACUUUCUUUCGGGAGAGUCCUUGAGGUGAACUUAAACCCCUUUUUUCAAACCUAAAAGCCGUCUCUUUGUAGACCGCUUUUAACCGAAUGCUGUACAACUCUUAGCAACGGAUAUCUUGGUUCUG